rnacentral:rRNA from 1 species
UCGACGAGCUUAGUUAUUAGGCAGUCUUUCUAACGAGGGGCUGGCGAAAGCAAGCUAAAGGAUCAGGAUCAAAGUUGGGUGUCGAUCUCGACCGUCCGAUCAAGCUUAGUUAUUAGGCAGUCUUUGAAAAGAGGCUGGCGAAAGCAAGCAAGCAAGGCAAGGUCGAUGUCGACGUCAAUGGCAAGUCCUUGAUCUCGUCAAGCUUAGUUACUAGCCAGUCCUUGACUGGCGAAAGCAAGCCGAGGACGAAUGUCGAUGUCGAUGUAGAGGAUGGAAUCAAUGUCGAUCAUCUUAGCUUAGUUACUAGGCAGUCUUUUGGCUGGCGAAAGCAAGCUAGAGGAUGUCGAUGUCGAGGACAUCAAUGGAUCUAUGUCAUCAUCAUCACACACUAUCGUAUGGCCAGAAUGUUUAUAAAUGAAAUACAACUUUCAGCAAUGGAUCUCUUGGUUCUCGCAUCCAUGAAGAACGCAACGAAUUGCGAUAAGUAAUGUGAAUUGCAGAUUUCCAGUGAAUCAUCGAAUCUUUGAACGCAUCUUGCGCUCCUUGGUAUUCCGAGGAGCAUGCCUGUUUGAGUGUCAUUUUAUUAUCAACCACCGUUCUUUAGGGAACGAUGGGUUGGAGUUGGGGGUUGCUGGCGACGACCUGGUCGUCAGCUCUCCUUAAAUGCAUUAGCGAUCGAGUUGGGCUAUCAAGUCUUUCGACAUGCACAGCCAUUGACGUGAUAAUGAUCGUCCUGGCUGGAGUGUCUAACCUAGACUAUGCUACAUAGCAUUGC